UUCUUUGGAGAGUUUGAUCCUGGCUCAGGACGAACGCUGGCGGCGUGCCUAAUACAUGCAAGUCGAGCGGACCGAACGAGGGCUUGCUCUUGUUUGGUCAGCGGCGGACGGGUGAGUAACACGUGGGCAACCUGCCCGCAAGACCGGGAUAACUCCGGGAAA
rnacentral:rRNA from 1 species